GAGAGACAGACAAAGAGACAGGUUUUAUUCAGUAGUUAAGGCCCAGUGGCCCAAAGUACAAUUGAAGAUGCACAAUUUCAACUAUUGGUCACGUUACAUGAAAUUAAGGUUUUACAUG